rnacentral:lncRNA from 1 species
GAAGUCAACAGUUUUGAAGAAACAGAAUUUCCCACUCUUGAGUUCAGGUGACAUUGUCUUGGAUUUACAUCAGCAAAGCUGAGAGAUGACAGUCGUUAAGUUGAAUAUUGUCAAGAGGAAAGAUCAUGAGACCAGUGAAAUAUACAUCUGACUCCAAAAGCUGCUGUGUAUAUGUCACAAAAACAAAGUUAAAAUACGGCUGGUUCCAGGAAGGAAAAUACUGCCCUUUGUGAUCAAUCAAAUGAAGAGGAGGGAAUGACUGUCAUGUCAAUACAGAAAAGCUCUCUUUGACAGAAA